rnacentral:rRNA from 1 species
AUACGUAGGGGGCGAGCGUUGUCCGAAGUUACUGGGCGUAAAGCGCGCGUAGGCGGCUCCUUAAGUGACUGGUGAAAUCCCCGGGCUCAACUCGGGAGGGUCUGGUCAUACUGGGGAGCUAGAGUGCGGGAGGGGAGAGCGGAACUCCUGGUGUAGCGGUGAUAUGCGUAGAGAUCAGGAAGAACACCCGUGGCGAAGGCGGCUCUCUGGACCGUGACUGACGCUGAGGUGCGAAAGCCAGGGGAGCGAACGGGAUUAGAUACCCCGGUAGUCCUGGCCCUAAACGAUGGAUACUAGGUGUGGCGGGUAUCGACCCCUGCCGCGCCGCAGCUAACGCAAUAAGUAUCCCGCCUGGGGAGUACGGCCGCAAGGUUGAA